ACUAUAAAUAAAGAGCAAUUAAAUUGGGACAGCACAAAGAAAAUUAGUAUGUCUCCUGAUCACGGAUGACUUGCAUAAAUUGAGAAAUUGUCCAAACUUUU